rnacentral:rRNA from 1 species
GACGAACGCUGGCGGCGUGCUUAACACAUGCAAGUCGAACGGAAAGGCCCUGCUUUUGUGGGGUGCUCGAGUGGCGAACGGGUGAGUAACACGUGAGUAACCUGCCCCUGACUUUGGGAUAACUUCAGGAAACUGGGGCUAAUACCGGAUAGGAGCUCCUGCUGCAUGGUGGGGGUUGGAUAGUUUCGGCGGUUGGGGAUGGACUCGCGGCUUAUCAGCUUGUUGGUGGGGUAGUGGCUUACCAAGGCUUUGACGGGUAGCCGGCCUGAGAGGGUGACCGGACACAUUAGGACUGAGAUACGGCACAGACUCCAACGGGAGGCAGCGGUGGGGAAUAUUGCACAAUGGGCGGAAGCCUGAUGCGGCAACGCCGCGUGGGGGAUGACAGCCUUCGGGUUGGAAACCGCUUUCGCCUGUGACGAAGCGUGAGUGACGGUAAUGGGUAAAGAAGCACCGGCUAACUACGUG